AAGUCAGCAGGAUAGCACGUUGAAUGCGCCAGUUUCCAAUAGAUCACUAAAGUUAAGCAACGUUGCGCAAGUUUAGUAUCCGGAUGGGUAACCAUCGGGCAAUCGCGCGCUUCUGGCUUU
rnacentral:rRNA from 1 species